AAUAUUUGACGCCGUUGACUUUUUGACACACGUUUGACCGUUCGUCUUAUUAAAAUUUUUUAUGUAAUUAUUAAUUCUUUUCCUAUCAUUUGAUACCUUGUUGAAUAUACUUUUUGUUCAAACAUAUCGUUUUACAUAUUUCACAAAUUUUUUUGAAUAAGACGAAUGGUCAAACGUGUCUCAAAAAGUCAACGGCGUCAAAUAUU
rnacentral:pre_miRNA from 1 species